CUGCUGACAGCUCGAUCAAGCGCGCAGUGAACAUGAUGAAGAAGAUGAACUUUGUGUCAACUCAGCGCGGCUCCUCAGUGUCCCCUCCCCCACCCCAGUGCUGAAGAUCAAGUGCCAUGUUUCUGCAUCGGUGGGAUGAAGUCAUGAGGCCAUCCAGAUGUGGAGGGUGAUGACUAAGAAUGAAACCAAAAGUGGAGUGAAAUGAGGCAACCAGCGCACGCAAGGAAAGGCAAUGCCACAGGCAAGGCCAGGCAAG